GUGGUUUUCUGGUGGUACCUCAAGGAGACCUUCUUCCCAGGUGACCCAUUCCACGUGGCGGUGCCGGUGUGUGAGCGAGCUGCCAGACCGCACGUGGCGGCGGCGCUUCGAUACUUCUUCCCGUUCCUGGAGUGGGCGCCAGCCUACGGGCUGGGCAACUCAAGUCGGACCUCAUCGCCGGUACUUCUUCUGGUUCCUUGAAGUUUGAUAUCCAUGCCCCCUUGUUAGAGCGGUGGAGAGAGAUGCGACAUGGAGUGAGGGAACUGUCGGCACCGGCAUAAGAGGUUGAUCUCCGCCCCGGUUUCCUCUAUGAUUACAUCAAGGAUGUAUUUUGUUGCUUGUUGGUUCUGUGUGCGGGAGCUCGAUGAUUGGGGGAGUUUAGAUCUGUGGUUUCAUUCUCAAAUUCUAUUCGUAUGGAUUGAGAUAGAGAUGAGAAGGUAGGUCCCUUAUUCAUGUAGGUUUUCUCUGUACCACUAAAUGUUUGUUUGAUUUUUUUCCAUGUAGGUUCUCUCUGAUUUUGCAUUAGUCUAUGAUCUUAGUCUUCAUUCUUUUAUUUUUAGUUUAUGAGAUUUCAGUAUUUGAUUCACUUAUUCUUGGUUUGGCAGAUAUUCAGUAUCUCUGUUCUUAUUAUUCAAUUUUUUUAUUUCUCAGAUUAGGAUUUUAGUACCUUUUCUUUUAUUAGUCAUCAGUUUUCUUCUUUAUUCAAUCAUAUUCAGCCUUAGUUCUUGUUCAGUCUUUCUUUAACUUCUUUUGUCCUUAGUCUCCAAUUUUCCUCUUUCUUCAGUCAUAUUCAGUCACACUUUGUUCAGUCUUUCAUUAUCUACUUCAGUCUGUAGUGCUCCUUGUGCAUAUAUACUUUGUUUUGCUCAUUCUUCUUUCUUAGCUUUGUUCUCUCAUUUUGUAUCGGCACAACCAAUAAUUCACAAGAUCAUCUAAUCCACAUAGGCAAAGGAAGAUUUUUCGUAGUAAAAUUCAGUAUAGUGGAGGGAAAGGAAGGUUUUUCGUUGUAAAAUUCACUACACUAGAGGGAAAAAGUUUCAAUGUUAUUAUCUAAUUGUUUCAUGGUUUUCUUAGUCAUGACUUUCUUUUCUCUACCAGCUUUAGGGGGAGGUCCAUCUAAUUUGACUUUGCCCUGGGCUGUCUGCAGGUGGGUUAAACAACCAGAUUUGGUGGAUUAGUUGGACUUGUAAAUAAUUUUUUCUGAUCCCAACACACUUUAUAUAGAGAAGUAGUAUUUCUUCAUAUUGUUACUUUUUUUGUUUGCUUUUGUGCUUAUUGCUCAUAUUGUUAAAUGUUUGUUGGGGCCAGUUCUUUUGGGCAAUUCUCCCAGAAUUGACCCCCUCCCCAGCUUCUCCCAGAAUUGCUACUCCAUCCUUUUUUACAAUUCCUAGCUAGUUAAGGUCUAAUUAGCUAGGAAUUGUAAAAAAAGAUGGAGUGGCAAUUCUGGGAGAAGCUGGGGAGGGGGUCAAUUCUGGGAGAAUUGCCCAAAAGAACUGGCCCUGACUCUUCUUUCUCUGGUCACCUUCAGUGCACAUGUUUCUUCAUUAUUUCAGUAACUACCUUCUCAUUGUUCCGCCUUCAUUUCUCAAAUCCAUGCUUAUCAGUUAUCCCUCUGUAUGCAUCAGUGAUCAAUAUUUCUCUUCAGCCUCAUUAUUUCUUUUCGAGAGUGCGCCAAAGGCUUACCUUAGCUUUAUAGAAGGAAGGAGUGAUAUUUACAAGUCAGCCUCAUUAUUUCAUUAAGUCCCUGCUCUACCCAGCCUUCAUAAAUUCAGUAUGCCCCUGUGCAUUAUGUAUAAAGACUUUUUUGAGCAUUCUUAUUUUUUAUCUUUUUGUUUCACCAGGAGGUUUUAUUACUAACCAGAGGAAGUUUCUUCUCCCACUUCGUUUUAGCGCAUGUUGUUUCAGAUGUGUUAUGUAAUAGUACUACAUAGAAGAGUUUUUUGCUUCAAGAAGUGUUAUGUAAUAGCAUAAAAACUACAUAAAUAGUUCGUUCUGUUCUGUUUUUUUUUCACUAGACAUUGAUGCUAUUUGUGCUCUUUAGCAGUGACACCAUAGUCAGUUAGCAUUUUCUGUCUUUUAGCUACACUGAGCCUUUGAUUUGUUUGUACCAUUAGGCUGUAGGGAAAUAUUACUAUAUGUAACAUGUAUUUUUUUUGUUCUUAUAAGAUGUUGUUUCUCAUUUCUGAAAUUUAUUUCUUGAUGCAG
rnacentral:lncRNA from 1 species